AUAUUGGACAAUGGGCGCAAGCCUGAUCCAGCAAUGCCGCGUGUGUGAAGAAGGCCUUCGGGUUGUAAAGCACUUUAAGCAGGGAAGAAAAAACUUUACCUAAUACGUGAAGUCUUGACGGUACCUGAAGAAUAAGCACCGGCUAACUCUGUGCCAGCAGCCGCGGUAAUACAGAGGGUGCGAGCGUUAAUCGGAUUUACUGGGCGUAAAGCGUGUGUAGGUGGUUAUUCAAGUCAGUUGUGAAAUCCCUGGGCUCAACCUGGGAACUGCUUCCGAGACUGGACGACUAGAGUACGGUAGAGGGUGGUGGAAUUUCCGGUGUAGCGGUGAAAUGCGUAGAUAUCGGAAGGAACAUCAAUGGCGAAGGCAGCCACCUGGGCCUGUACUGACACUGAGACACGAAAGCGUGGGGAUCAAACAGG
rnacentral:rRNA from 1 species